rnacentral:rRNA from 1 species
UUCCGGUUGAUCCUGCCGGACCCUACUGCUAUCGGGGUGGGACUAAGACAUGCGAGUUGAGCGUCUCUAAGCCAUGGUAGAGACGCGGCGUACGGCUCAGUAACACGUGGCUAACCUACCCUUAGGACGGGGACAACCCCGGGAAACUGGGGCUAAUACCCGAUAGGCGAGGAGGCCUGGAAUGGUUCUUAGUCGAAAAGGCGUUGAAACCAUGCUUUUCGACGUUGCCUAAGGAUGGGGCCGCGCCCGAUCAGGUUGUUGGUGGGGUAACGGCUCACCAAGCCUAUAACCGGUACGGGCCGUGAGAGCGGGAGCCCGGAGAUGGGCACUGAGACAAGGGCCCAGGCCCUACGGGGCGCAGCAGUCGCGAAAACUCCGCAAUGCGCGAAAGCGUGACGGGGCUACCCCGAGUGCCGUCCGCUGAGGAUGGCUUUUCUCCGGUGUAAUGAGCCGGGGGAAUAAGGAGAGGGCAAGUCUGGUGUCAGCCGCCGCGGUAAUACCAGCUCUCCGAGUGGUAGGGAUGAUUAUUGGGCUUAAAGCGUCCGUAGCCGGCUUAGCAAGUCUCCUGUUAAAUUCAGCGACCUAAUCGUUGAGCCGCGGGAGAUACUACUAGGCUAGGAGGCGGGAGAGGCCGACGGUAUUCUCGGGGUAGGGGUGAAAUCCUAUAAUCCCGGGAGGACCACCAGUGGCGAAGGCUGUCGGCUAGAACGCGCUCGACGGUGAGGGACGAAAGCUGGGGGAGCGAACCGGAUUAGAUACCCGGGUAGUCCCAGCUGUAAACGAUGCGGGCUAGGUGUUGGGGUGGCUACGAGCCACUUCAGUGCCGCAGGGAAGCCAUUAAGCCCGCCGCCUGGGGAGUACGGCCGCAAGGCUGAAACUUAAAGGAAUUGGCGGGGGAGCACCACAAGGCGUGAAGCUUGCGGUUCAAUUGGAUUCAACGCCGGG